GAUGAACGCUGGCGGCGUGCCUAAUACAUGCAAGUCGAGCGAACAGAUGAGGAGCUUGCUCCUCUGACGUUAGCGGCGGACGGGUGAGUAACACGUGGAUAACCUACCUAUAAGACUGGGAUAACUUCGGGAAACCAGAGCUAAUACCGGAUAAUAUAUUGAACCGCAUGGUUCAAUAGUGAAAGACGGUUUUGCUGUCACUUAUAGAUGGAUCCGCGCCGCAUUAGCUAGUUGGUAAGGUAACGGCUUACCAAGGCAACGAUGCGUAGCCGACCUGAGAGGGUGAUCGGCCACACUGGAACUGAGACACGGUCCAGACUCCUACGGGAGGCAGCAGUAGGGAAUCUUCCGCAAUGGGCGAAAGCUUGACGGAGCAACGCCGCGUGAGUGAUGAAGGUCUUCGGAUCGUAAAACUCUGUUAUUAGGGAAGAACAAAUGUGUAAGUAACUAUGCACGUCUUGACGGUACCUAAUCAGAAAGCCACGGCUAACUACGUG
rnacentral:rRNA from 1 species